AUGGUAGCGGCGGGGCCUCGGUUGCCCUGCUCAUGUGUGCGGAACCCUGGAUCUGGAGCAGCGGCUCCAUUGGCAAGGCAUGGCCGGCUAACAGCCGUGCGGGUGGUGGAUCCGGUGUCCCGGCCGCGCGGGCGGCCGGAUCCGGUGGUCGUUGGCCGCCGGCAGCAGCUUAUGCGGCGGUCGGUGUGCGCGAUUUGGCGCGUCCCUUCCUCCCCUGUUCGGCGUGCGGGCCAGCCUGGUCGGGCCGUGCUUCCUCUUGGUCGCCGGUUCUGUACAGGAGGUGCUGUUCGUGGCGGAGAUCUGAUUCGGGCGAAAUCCCUGGCCGGCCAUGAUCGGCCGCGCUGA
rnacentral:rRNA from 1 species